rnacentral:rRNA from 1 species
UGUUCCCUACGGGACGCAGCAGUGAGGAAUAUUGGUCAAUGGGCGAGAGCCUGAACCAGCCAAGUCGCGUGAGGGAAGACGGUCCUAUGGAUUGUAAACCUCUUUUGUCGGGGAGCAAAAAGGCCUCGUGAGGCCACAAGUGAGAGUACCCGAAGAAAAAGCACCGGCUAACUCCGUGCCAGCAGCCGCGGUAAUACGGAGGGUGCGAGCGUUAAUCGGAAUUACUGGGCGUAAAGCGCUCGUAGGCGGUAUGUCAAGUCAAGGGUGAAAUCCCCGCGCUCAACGUGGGAACUGCCUUUGAAACU